CGCUGCCGGUGCCCGCCCGUCCCUGCACCGCCGGCCUCCCCGACUCCCUGCGCCGCCGGCUCCCGUGCCGCCCCGGCGAGCUGCAGCGCCUUCUCCUCAAUUCCUCGCGACUCGUCCUCCCGCCGUCGAUUCUUUGGUCAGGCGGUGCUCUUCUUUUCUCCUACGGCGAGCCCCUGCGCCCUCGACUCUUUGGUCAACGCGUCGAUUCUUCGUCCUGUGCUGCUCUGGCGAGCUGCAGCGCCGGGUGCCGUUGCCCUCCACGGUGGUACCCUGUCUCCGCUGCGCCGCAUCCUCGACUCACCCGCCCUCAGCCACCCUGUCUCCGCUGUGCUGCUGAUGAUGGUAACAUUCAGCAGUUGACGCCUAUCCCCAACCAACAAGUUGCAGGAGAUGAGCAGGUGCCCGAAGAUGUGCCGUGAAGCCCAGACCUGUCCAGCUCCCACGGGAACGCCGCGUGCAGAGCACCUCCAUCAAGAUUCUGGCCACAAGAUAUCUUCUUGCUAACUUCCAGGCGCUGAGUGUUCCUAUUGCAGGCAGUGGCUAAGAUGAGGUC